rnacentral:misc_RNA from 1 species
AAAUCAGGGGCAUGUGGUUCCAGCCACCCGAUCGACCAGUCAGAGUCAUCGGAUUCGGAACCUGAUAAACAAACACCAUCAGAUGGCACCAAUACCACAUCAUAUUUCUCAUCAACCCUCUUCCUCUCCUCUCUACUCUUCCAUUUCCUCUUCACUUUCCUAGUAGUUGAAGCUAGAUUAGCCCCCCUCACUGACUUAAACUUCAAACUAUCACUUUGUUCCUUCAAUCCAAAUCCAAAAUCUUGCAAGGGAUUCAUUGAAGAUCCAUUAGACACUG